rnacentral:rRNA from 1 species
UACGUAGGGUGCAAGCGUUGUCCGGAAUUAUUGGGCGUAAAGAGCUUGUAGGCGGUUUGUCGCGUCUGCUGUGAAAUUUCGGGGCUCAACCCCGAACCUUGCAGUGGGUACGGGCAGGCUAGAGUGUGGUAGGGGAGAUCGGAAUUCCUGGUGUAGCGGUGAAAUGCGCAGAUAUCAGGAGGAACACCGGUGGCGAAGGCGGAUCUCUGGGCCAUUACUGACGCUGGAGGAGCGAAAGCGUGGGGAGCAACAGG